rnacentral:misc_RNA from 1 species
GAUGAAGAACGUAGCGAAAUGCGAUAAGUAAUGUGAAUUGCAGAAUUCAGUGAAUCAUCGAAUCUUUGAACGCACAUUGCGCCCUUCGGCAUUCCGAAGGGCACACCUGUCCGAGCGCCGUCGCACAACUGAGGCGCAGCCUUGCGUUGGCGGGCGACUUGUGAGUAGCGAGUCGCCGCCCAAACGAGACGGCGCCGCGCCGCGGCCGACGAAGCACGAAAGCGGAAGUCGACGCGGAGGCGGUUGCCUGUAGGAAGACACAGCUUGGCCUCGGAUCAGGUGGGGAUACCCGCUGAACUUAAGCAUAUCAAUAAGCGGAGGA